rnacentral:rRNA from 1 species
GACGAACGCUGGCGGCGUGCCUAAUACAUGCAAGUCGAGCGGACUUGACAGAGCUUGCUCUGUUCAAGUUAGCGGCGGACGGGUGAAUAACACGUGGGCAACCUGCCCUGCAGAUUGGGAUAACUCCGGGAAACCGGGGCUAAUACCGAGUAACAUGGAAAACCUCAUGGGUUUCUUUUAAAAGGCGGCUUCGGCUGUCACUGCAGGAUGGGCCCGCGGCGCAUUAGCUAGUUGGUGAGGUAACGGCUCACCAAGGCGACGAUGCGUAGCCGACCUGAGAGGGUGAUCGGCUACACUGGGACUGAGACACGGCCCAGACUCCUACGGGAGGCAGCAGUAGGGAAUCUUCCGCAAUGGACGAAAGUCUGACGGAGCAACGCCGCGUGAGUGAAGAAGGUUUUCGGAUCGUAAAACUCUGUUGUUAGGGAAGAACAAGUACCGGAGUAACUGCCGGUACCUUGACGGUACCUGACCAGAAAGCCACGGCUAACUACGUGCCAGCAGCCGCCGUAAGAC